ACGCCGCGAGAGACAGCCCGCUUGCACGGGCUGGCUCGUCUUUGCGACCGUCGCAGGACCGCCAGGAUCACCGGCGUUUCCCGCCAAUCCUCCUACUCCUCCUCCUCCCGUGUAUUCUCCUCACCCCCGCUGCCGGUAGGCAAGCGGAAGAAGGAGAAAAGGAGAAGGAAGAAGACUCAAGGCUACCAGUCCGUCCGGGCCUUCGACGUCCCCCAGCAACGGGUCGCGGCGCCCUACAACGAGGGAAUAUCGCCGGCCGACGCCAGCGUGGGUGCAGGCACGCCCAAGCAUUCGUGGGUCGCUGCUUCCGACUGAAUCGGCGGACAGACAGAGAGACCCGCACCCAGCCGAGGUCGGCCGCCUGAAUCCCUCGGUUCGACCUUCAAGGUUCCAUCCGUUUGGCUCUUAACGGUUUCACGUACUCUUGAACUCUCUCUUCAAAGUUCUUUUCAACAUUCCCUCACGGUACUUGUUCGCUAUCGGUCUCGUGGUCAUAUUUAGCCUUAGAUGGAGUUUACCACCUGCUUUGGGCUGCACUAUCAAGCAACCCGACUCUA